ACCCAAAAAAAAAAACGGCAAAAAAAUGCAACUUUCCGUUCCGAUUACGCCCUCUCCGUUUUACCCUUUUGCCCCUCACCGUGUCGUACCGCCGGUGACUCACCAACUGGCCCAUCAGGUGCAGACCCAGCGCGGCAAUUCCGUGAAUACGGCGAAAGUCUCGGGGUAUUUCUCGUCGAUAAGCCGAGCCAUCGAGGAGGAGGAGGAGUAUCGGAAGGCUCGAGCCGCGGUGAACCGUAAAGGCGUCGACUUGGAGGGUUACUUAGUAGAGGGCGUUUCCAUUGGAGGCCAAGAGACCUGCGUCAUCGUCCCCGAGCUCAAAUGCGCCUUUGACAUCGGGAGGUGUCCUUCACGCGCCAUUCAGCAGAAGUUCCUGUUCAUCACUCACGCCCAUCUCGACCACAUCGGUGGACUGCCAAUGUAUGUAGCUAGUCGCGGUUUGUACAAUCUUGAGCCUCCUAAAGUUUUCGUGCCGCCAUCCAUUUUAGAGGAUGUGGAGAACCUCAUAGAAAUUCACAGGUCCAUGGGUCAAGUAGAGCUCAACCUUGAACUGAUUCCACUGGAUAUAGGUGACACUUACGAGUUGCGGAAUGACAUUGUUGUGAGACCAUUUAGAACUAACCAUGUAAUACCGAGCCAGGGAUACGUGGUUUACUCAAUUAGGAAGAAGCUGAAAAAGCAGUAUGCUCAUCUCAAAGGCAAGCAAAUAGAGAAGAUAAAGAAAUCUGGCGUUGAGAUUACGGACACUAUAUUAUCCCCUGAGAUUGCAUUCACCGGAGAUACAACUGCAGAAUAUAUGCUUGAUCCUCGCAAUGCUGAUGCUUUGAGGGCGAAAAUUCUUAUAACCGAGGCAACGUUCUUGGAUGAAGGAUUUAGCAUUGAACAUGCCCAGAAACACGGGCAUACUCAUUUAUCUCAGCUUGUUGAGAAUGCAAAGUGGAUAAGGAGCAAAGCUAUAUUAUUAACACAUUUCUCUUCGCGGUACCAUAUAGAGGAAAUUCGUGAAGCUACGCUGAAGUUGCAGUCAAAGGUAUCGGGGAAAGUCGUUGCUCUUACAGAGGGGUUCAGGUCGAGAUAUUCGUGAAAGCGAGAGAUGGAGUCGGGACAUGUAGUAACAUCUUUAUCUGUAACUUGGUACGAAGGUUGUUCCUCUUAUAGAAGGGCUCAGGUCUGAGUAUUCAUGGAUUGAGGGACAGAGUAGGAAAAUUUCGCAAAGCUACAAUUUUGUUGCAAUCCACGGUGUCGGUGUUUCGGUGUUGAGUGUAGUUUGAUGGAACAGAAGAAAUAUUAGAUCAAAAUUUUCGCCAUGAAAACAAUUCAAGCCUGCAAU